CCUCUGGAGUGUCACACAAAACGCUAGUAGCUUUGGCGAAAGCGGACACUAUGAAUGAGGAA
ncrna:unclassified sequences RAGATH-18 RNA